CAUCAAGUGGUCCGAAUGGAGACAGGGACCAGAAAGGGGAGCUGGGAUGCAGCAGUUGUCGGCCAAAAAGAGCCCCCAUUUUGACCCGCUGCAUUCCGUGAUUCCAGCCGGGUCCCUGAACGCCACAUCGGAGCUGGAGUUGAUGCAGGCCGCCAUACAGACCACUGAUCCUGAUCCUGUUGUCGGCCUUGGAGGAUGAGGUCCAGUUACCAGAAUCACUACUCUGCAGCUCACUGGUCCCGUCCUGCAGCUCAUUCAUGCCAUCCUCCUCUUAACAGACCAAAUCAAGAAAAAGGAAGUGGGAUGCUGCUGUAGAUCUGCUGCAGUAUCUGGAGAGGUCAGAGGAACGGUUCUUGGAACAGAUCAGAAGACACCAAGACCUGACCACUGCCAUGCUCCAGAAUAUCCAGGGACCAAGACCUGACCACUGCCAUGCUCCAGAAUAUCCAGGGACCAAGACCUGACCACUGCCAUGCUCCAGAAUAUCCAGGGACCAAGACCUGACCACUGCCAUGCUCCAGAACAUUCAGAAGACGGAUGAAAAUUCAAACACCUUGGUUGGACUGAUGGGACGUACGGUGUCAGUGCUGGAGCAACUGUCCCAGAAAUAAACUGCAUUGUCCACUACUUCUGCCUUUUCUAGAAAAAAAAAUCUUUUUUUGUAAAUUCUUUUCCUUCUUAGCUAUUUAAGUUCACUUGUAUUUUACUCUUGCACUUUGGGUGAA
ensembl:lncRNA